CCUACGGGAGGCAGCAGUGAGGAAUAUUGGUCAAUGGGCGCGAGCCUGAACCAGCCAAGUAGCGUGAAGGAUGACUGCCCUAUGGGUUGUAAACCUCUUUUAUAAAGGAAUAAAGUGAGGCACGUGUGCCUGUUUGCAGGUACCGUAUGAAUAAGGAUCGGCUAAUUCCGUGCCAGCAGCCGCGGUAAUACGGAGGGUCCGAGCGUUAUCCGGAUUUAUUGGGUUUAAAGGGAGCGUAGAUGGGUUGUUAAGUCAGUUGUGAAAUUUUGCGGCUCAACCGUAAAAUUGCAAUUGGUACUGGCAGUCUUGAGUGCAGUUGAGGUAGGCGGAAUUCGUGGUGUAGCGGUGAAAUGCUUAGAUAUCACGAAGAACUCCGAUUGCGAAGGCAGCUUACUAAACUGCCACUGACAUUGAUGCUCGAAAGUGUGGGUAUCAAACAGGAUUAGAUACCCUUGUAGUC
rnacentral:rRNA from 1 species